CAAUCUUUAUUUAUUCUUGGAGGUUCAUUGAGGGUAGUCCUCAUUUUCAGUAAAGCCGAGAUUACACAGUAACACUGAAAUAACAAGAGAUAUAUUAUAAACAAUGAAAU